GACGAACGCUGGCGGCGUGCCUAAUACAUGCAAGUAGAACGCUGAAGCGAGGAGCUUGCUCUUCUUGGAUGAGUUGCGAACGGGUGAGUAACGCGUAGGUAACCUGCCUUGUAGCGGGGGAUAACUAUUGGAAACGAUAGCUAAUACCGCAUAACAAUGGAUGACACAUGUCAUUUAUUUGAAAGGGGCAAUUGCUCCACUACAAGAUGGACCUGCGUUGUAUUAGCUAGUAGGUGAGGUAAUGGCUCACCUAGGCGACGAUACAUAGCCGACCUGAGAGGGUGAUCGGCCACACUGGGACUGAGACACGGCCCAGACUCCUACGGGAGGCAGCAGUAGGGAAUCUUCGGCAAUGGGGGCAACCCUGACCGAGCAACGCCGCGUGAGUGAAGAAGGUUUUCGGAUCGUAAAGUUCUGUUGUAAGUCAAGAACGGGUGUGAGAGUGGAAAGUUCACACUGUGACGGUAGCUUACCAGAAAGGGACGGCUAACUACGUG
rnacentral:rRNA from 1 species